rnacentral:rRNA from 1 species
CAGUCGCCGCGGUAAUACGUAGGUGGCAAGCGUUGUCCGGAAUUAUUGGGCGUAAAGGGCUCGCAGGCGGUUUCUUAAGUCUGAUGUGAAAGCCCCCGGCUCAACCGGGGAGGGUCAUUGGAAACUGGGAAACUUGAGUGCAGAAGAGGAGAGUGGAAUUCCACGUGUAGCGGUGAAAUGCGUAGAGAUGUGGAGGAACACCAGUGGCGAAGGCAACUCUCUGGUCUGUAACUGACGCUGAGGAGCGAAAGCGUGGGGAGCGAACAGGAUUAGAUACCCCUGUAGUCCCUGUCUCUUAUAC